rnacentral:rRNA from 1 species
CGUUUUUGUUUUCGUGGAUUAGUGGCGAACGGGUGAGUAACACGUGAGUAACCUGCCCCCUUCUUUGGGAUAACUGUCGGAAACGGUGGCUAAUACUGGAUAUUCAGGUCGCACCGCAUGGUGUGGUUUGGAAAGGUUUUUUCUGGUGGGGGAUGGGCUCGCGGCCUAUCAGCUUGUUGGUGGGGUGAUGGCCUACCAAGGCUUUGACGGGUAACCGGCCUGAGAGGGCGGACGGCCACAUUGGGACUGAGAUACGGCCCAGACUCCUACGGGAGGCAGCAGCG